AUUGAACGCUGGCGGAAUGCUUUACACAUGCAAGUCGAACGGCAGCACGGGGGCAACCCUGGUGGCGAGUGGCGAACGGGUGAGUAAUACAUCGGAACGUGCCCAGUCGUGGGGGAUAACGUAGCGAAAGCUACGCUAAUACCGCAUACGAUCUACGGAUGAAAGCGGGGGAUCGCAAGACCUCGCGCGAUUGGAGCGGCCGAUGGCAGAUUAGGUAGUUGGUGGGGUAAAGGCUCACCAAGCCGACGAUCUGUAGCUGGUCUGAGAGGACGACCAGCCACACUGGGACUGAGACACGGCCCAGACUCCUACGGGAGGCAGCAGUGGGGAAUUUUGGACAAUGGGCGCAAGCCUGAUCCAGCCAUUCCGCGUGCAGGAUGAAGGCCUUCGGGUUGUAAACUGCUUUUGUACGGAACGAAACGGCCUUUUCUAAUACAAGAGGCUAAUGACGGUACCGUAAGAAUAAGCACCGGCUAACUACGUGCCAGCCGCCGCAGUAAUAC
rnacentral:rRNA from 1 species